UCGUCGGAAUCAAACCCACCGUUGGCCUCACCAGCCGCGCUGGCGUUGUACCAAUCUCCCCUCGCCAGGACACAAUCGGGCCCAUAUGCAGGACAGUUUCAGAUGCAGUUCAUGUGCUUGAUGCAAUUGUGGGUUAUGAUCCAAGAGACCAUGAAGCAACAAAAUCGGCGGCAAAGUUCAUUCCUGGAGGUGGUUACAAACAGUUUUUAAACAAAGAUGGGCUAAAAGGGAAGAGACUUGGAGUUGUAAGGAAUCCAUUUUUAGAUUCUUAUAAUAAAUCCUCUGCUAUUUCAUCCUUUGAGCAUCAUCUUGACACAUUAAGGCAAAAAGGUGCAACC